UUAAAACCAAAUUUGGUGUCUCAAUGUCUUUCUCAGCCUUGCUGUGAAUAGGUCCACGGAGGGAGAGGUUCUCAUUACACGCUCUCAGGAUAAACAGGUUGCCCUUACAAUCUUGGGCAUAACAUAUUUGGUGUCAGAAGUGGGAUCCUAGAGCGUGGUGAGACUCUUUCUUUCUGGGGACUCUCAUAGCUUGGGGGAGACAGAUCUUGAGACUUGGUGCAAGGGGACGCCCUUGCUGGAAACAAGGGGCAAAGAGGGAACAGGUGGAGGUUUGGAAGCCUGUUCACACAACUUCUUUGUUCUUUGAGGGAGAGGGUCGGCGUGCUUUCUCCCGCAGGUGUAACAAGAGCAGAGGGGGAACAGGUGGAGGUUUGGAAGCCUGUUCACGCAACUUCUUUGUUCUUUGAGGGAGAAGGUCGGCGUGCUUUCUCCCGCAGUUGACAUAAUGUUUGGAAAGAAAAACAGAAGGGGGACGGGGGAAGGCAGGAACUCCGUCCCAGAUAACCCUUUUUGUACUAUGGAUGGAGAGAUCAGGAAGGUUUCUGCUGCCGAUGAUCUUAUUGAAGAGAGUAAAGAUUGGGGUUUGUUUUUAAAGAGGUCCCUUUUGAAGGGAAAUAAGUAUGAAAUAGCUUUGAAUAAGGUUUCAGAAUGGUUUCAACAGGCAUUGGAAAAACAUGACCCCUGGGAAGCUUUAUAUAAAGGAAUUGGAAUGUUUUGCUUUCAUACGGCUUCUACUGACAAGGCGGAGCAGGUGAAAGUUGGAUUGCUGUUGGUGCAGGUUGGUUUGGAUUAUUUGAAUCAAUGAGUGAAGUGGUCUGGUUGGAUGCUUUGGAGGAAAAAGAACAGGAAUGUAAAGGGUAGAUGUUUUGAACAAGGUUUUAGUAGAUAGUAAAAUCCCAUUGAAGAAAACUAAAUGUGUAGCUUGCCAAGGGACUGGUAGACAAAUUGGCAUCACGAACAGGAAACUUAUGAUUCUAUGCUUCUUACAGAAAAUUUGCCACAGCCACUGAUCAAAAAUGAAAAGAAUAUGUUACUUUAAUGGACUCAUGAACCAAUGUUAGAACUUGGUUACCAGGGAGUAAAUCCCUGCAAACAAUAUUAUUGGAAAUUGCCUUUGUUUUAAAAGAAUUAACUUAUUCCUCCCAGCCAGCUUUUCUUCUGGGUAGUGAGAAACUUAAGAAUGCUCUACAACCCUGCUGAUAAGUUAACAGAUCAGCAGAGAACAUUUUAGCCCCAUAGAUGGACUUUUGAUAAAAGUAUAAAGGAUAAGUCCUCCAUGUGGAAAAGAAGGUGCUAAUAUAUAAAGUUUUUUUUAA